GACUUUCUUUGAAGGUCCCGGUGGCGGCCGCAGUCAUCCCAGCUCCAGCUUCUCCGACUUUGAUGGGAUUCUGCACCAACAGAAUUGGCGCUAGAGGAAGGGCCUUCUGUGUCUUCACGGUACCCUUGUUCUUAAAGGAGUACUCAACGGGACUGAUUUCGAUCAUCUUCUCCGACAUCCUCUUCUCCUCCCUCUACUAAAUCUUCACCCGAUGCCUCCCCGCAAGGCAUCCACUAGGCGAUCCACGACCUCUACGGCC
rnacentral:lncRNA from 1 species